AUGUGUACACCGCGAUGGGCAGGCGGUCUGGGAAUCCCAAACCUGCGGUGGAUGAACAAGGCCCUGCGGGCGAGAUGUCCUUGGCUACAACGGACCGACCGCAAUAGGCCAUGGAGCGAGUUCUCCAUAUCAGUACCGGCGGAAUCAAUGGAAAUAUACCGAGCGACAACUAGAGCCAGGGUGGGGAAUGGAAAAUCAACUCUUUUCUGGGAGGAUAAAUGGAUAGACGGAUACCGGACAUGCGAUCUACCAUCGGAAAUCUACCGGCGCAUCCCGAGCCGGAUCAGGAAGAAGAAGACAAUGGAGGAAGCGGUGCUCACCGCGGCUUGGGAAGGAGACAUUGGGCCGGACCUAUCAGUGGAUGCCAUUGAGCAGUUCUUCUCACUAUGGCAGAGGGUGUCCGCGGCUGGCAGCAAACAUACAUGA
rnacentral:rRNA from 1 species